GAUGAAGAACGUAGCGAAAUGCGAUACUUGGUGUGAAUUGCAGAAUCCCGUGAACCAUCGAGUUUUCGAACGCAAGUUGCGCCCGAAGCCUUUUGGCCGAGGGCACGUCUGCCUGGGCGUCACGCAUCGCGUCGCCCCCCACAAUUCUCCGUAAAGGGAACGUGUGUUUUGGGGGCGGAUAUUGGUCUCCCGUGCUCAUGGCGUGGUUGGCCGAAAUAGGAGUCCUUUCGAUGGACGCACGAACUAGUGGUGGUCGUAAAAACCCUCGUCUUUUGUUUCGUGCUGUUGCUCGCAAGGUAAACUCUUUAAAAACCCCAAUGUGUCGUCUCUUGACGACGCUUCGACCGCGACCCCAGGUCAGGCGGGACUACCCGCUGAGUUUAAGCAUAUCAAUAAGCGGAGGA
rnacentral:misc_RNA from 1 species